rnacentral:rRNA from 1 species
GACGAAGGAUGCAAGCGUUAUCCGGAUUCAUUGGGUUUAAAGGGAGCGUAGGUGGCCUUAUAAGUCAGUGGUGAAAUCUCUCAGCUUAACUGAGAAAUUGCCAUUGAUACUGUAGGGCUUGAGUACAGAUGCCGUUGGCGGAAUAUGACAUGUAGUGGUGAAAUACAUAGAGAUGUCAUAGAACACCGAUUGCGAAGGCAGCUAACGAAGCUGUAACUGACGCUGAGGCUCGAAAGUGCGGGGAUCAAACAGG